GACGAACGCUGGCGGCGUGCUUAACACAUGCAAGUCGAACGGAAAGGCCCUGCUCUUGUGGGGUUCUCGAUUGGCGAACGGGUGAGUAUCACGUGAGUAACCUGUCCUUGUCUUUCGGAUAACUUUAGGAAACUGGGGCUAUUACCGGAUAGGAUCUCCUGCUGCAUGGUGGGGGUUGGAAAGUUUCGGCGGUUCGGUAUGGACUCGCGGCUUAUCAGCUUGUUAGUGGGGUAGGUGCUUACCAAGGUUUUGACGGGUAGCCUGCCUGAGAGGGUGACCGGGCACAUGAGGACUAAGAGACGGAACAGACUCCUACGGGAGGCAACAGUGGGAAAUAUUGCAGAAUAGGCGGAAGCGUGAUACAGCAGCGCCGCGUGCGGGAUAACGGCCUACGAGUGGUAAACAGCUUUCGAAUGUGACGAGGAGUGAGUGACGGUAAUGGGUAAGGAAGCACCGGCUAACUACGUG
rnacentral:rRNA from 1 species